rnacentral:lncRNA from 1 species
AGAUCUGUUGGUAGGCAACGCGAAGGUGCAUUCAUGUCAUCCGGCAGGAGGAAUUCUCCACGAGUUUUGAGCAGCCUCGGUUUUCCCACCACCUCCAAAUCAUGCAAGACACAGGGUAAGAGCAAAGACAAGGUGGCUGUAGCCGAUGUCCACCCUCUCGGGGCGUCCCUUCUCUUUUCUCCUCCUUGGGCAGGGAGACCAUCCGGGUGCAACCUGGCUGGGGCGGGGAGGAGGUGCAGGGCCUGGCCAGAGCGGGCGCGGCCACGGGCAAGGGAAGGCGAGCACCUGGGCGGGGACAGUUGAGCGCGGCGCAGGCCUGGGCCCGGCGUGUCCGUGGUGCGGGCGAGAGGCCAGCAGAGGGCGCCAGAGAGCCAGGAGCGGCCCGCGGAGGAGCCCGCGCGGGCCCCGAUGCCCAGCUCCGCGCCGCGCGGACCCACCGAGCCCGCGCUCAGACGCCCCAGCUCCGCCGAGAGGCCGCUCGCGACGGGUCCUUCCUCUUCCCGAAGUGCAGGCAGAGCCCCCGGAGCCACAGCCAGCCCUUCCGGCAGCUCCGAAGCCACUGGCAAGCCCCGAGGCAGGGAUGGCCGGCCCAGGAGGGAGGAGGACGACGUCCCUCCCGAGGAGAAGAGGCUGCGGCUGUUGCUGGAGGGGGAAGCGCACAGCCCGAGGACUGCGAGGACGGGGAGGACGCGACGCGGCCGGGCAGGGAGGAGACCGGCACCCAGACAGGUGGCGACGGCAGAGGAGUGGACUCUGCCAAAGACCAGGAUACUAGAAUGCAGUGGAUUGACCAAGUGUAGUGGGACCUUGGGAACGCGAGUCUGGAGCCAGGCGGCUGGGGUUCGCAUCUUGGUUCUGCCCCUCCUUAGCUGGCUGACAUGGCACAAGCCACUUACCCUCUCUGAGCCUUACUGUCUUCAGUGGCAAAUGGAUCGGUCAACAGGCCCCAUUGCCUGGGGUUUUUACUGCUGAGAUUAAGGGAAGCUCGUCCAUAGAAGCACUUAGCAUUGUGCCUGUCACAUAGUGUAUGGUGGAUAAAUGGGACUUAGAACUGAAACUCAUGCCUUGGUGUGUUUUUGCAGUGAUGUUUUGUUCUGGGGUGCAUCACAAGAGACAAGGUCCUUGGCCAGGCGUGGUGGCUCAAGCAAAUAAUCCCAGCACUUUGAGAGGGGGAACGCCGGGAUCGCUUGAACCCAGGAAUUUAAGACCAGCCUGGGCAAUGUGGUGAAGCCUCAUAUCUACCAAAAAAAAAAAAAAAAAAAAAAA